AGGACGAACGCUGGCGGCGUGCUUAACACAUGCAAGUCGAGCGGAAAGGCCCUUCGGGGUACUCGAGCGGCGAACGGGUGAGUAACACGUGAGUAAUCUGCCCAUCGCUUCAGGAUAGCCAUCGGAAACGGUGAUUAAUACUGGAUAUGACAUUCCUUCGCAUGUUGGGGUGUGGAAAGUUUUUUCGGCGGUGGAUGUGCUCGCGGCCUAUCAGCUUGUUGGUGGGGUAAUGGCCUACCAAGGCUUUGACGGGUAGCCGGCCUGAGAGGGUGACCGGCCACACUGGGACUGAGACACGGCCCAGACCUCCUACGGGAGGCAGCAGUGGGGAAUAUUGGACAAUGGGCGGAAGCCUGAUCCAGCAACGCCGCGUGAGGAGUGACGGCCGUUCGGGUUACGUAACCUCUUUCAGUCACAGACGUAGUUUUGCGUUUUGGCGUAGUGACGGUAUGUGCAGAAGAAGGACCGACAC
rnacentral:rRNA from 1 species